rnacentral:rRNA from 1 species
AGAACGAACGCUGGCGGCAUGCCUAACACAUGCAAGUCGAACGCUUUUGGGGCUUCGGUCCCAAAGGAGUGGCGCACGGGUGAGUAGCGCGUGGGAACCUGCCCUGUUGUGGGGGAUAACCGAGGGAAACUUCGGCUAAUACCGCAUACGCCCGGGGGAAACUCCGGGGAAAGAUUUAUCGCAGCAGGAGGGGCCCGCGUCGGAUUAGGUAGUUGGUGGGGUAACGGCCCACCAAGCCUGUGAUCCGUAGCUGGUCUGAGAGGAUGAUCAGCCACACUGGGACUGAGACACGGCCCAGACUCCUACGGGAGGCAGCAGUGGGGAAUAUUGGACAAUGGGCGCAAGCCUGAUCCAGCAAUGCCGCGUGAGUGAUGAAGGCCUUGGUUGUAAAGCUCUUUCGCACGCGACGAUGAUGACGGUAGCGUGAGAAGAAGCCCCGGCUAACUUCGCGCCAGCAGCCGC